ensembl:lncRNA
AUGGCUACUAAAGCCUUGUGCUUAUCAGCACUCAUGCCAUGUUCGCUCACGAAGAUAAUAAGAAGGACAACAUUUGGGAAAGGAACCUCCCAGAGAAGGUUUGUACUACUGAUAAGCAGGGGUGUAUUCACUAGUAACCAAACGGGCCAAAACAGCGAGGGACUAAAUAGCAUUUUAUCCAAUAAGAAAUGCUUGUUUUCAUUGCAAAACAUUUUGCUACAGUGUACACUAAGGAAAAUACUCCAGGGCUGUUUCCUGUACAAUGUGAAUAAUACUACUUACCAUCCUGCAGUAGGACUUUUGGGGGUUUAUGGGUUGAUUGGCUGCAUGAACGGAAAGAUUUCUGGACUUAAGACAAAAGGAUGAGGUUGUCUGUGAAUCAACUUGUAUGACAUUAACCCGGGGUGGUUAUUACAAGGCAAAUGUGCCUAUAUGAUGUAUUUAUGUGUAUUGUGAAUGAAUAGGCUAUGCUCAUGUUCUUCCCUGUGCAGUUCAAGGCUUGGAUUCUACUGGCUACUUGUUGUCUUGCUUAUAUUCUACCAUGUUUUCUUUCUUUACGUUGGACAGUGGACUAACAUUCUGUGUUGUGAUAAUUUGUCUGUCCCCAAAUAAUGGACUUUUGAUUUAUUAAAUUUUUUUUGUAUCUUUAAAUUGGCAUGUUCUUAAACAUAAGGAUGUGUGUAUUUUUGUCUCCCAUAAUUAAAAGAUGCUGUUUAUGAAGCGUCUGCUUAUGACCUUGGUGUUUUUAUGUGGAAGUAGAAUGUAAUACCAUUGAACACCAUUUUAUUCUCCGGUUCAUGUUUUUGAUCCAGUGUACCUACGCCUAACAGAUCACGCAGUACUUCUCUAUGGCCACUAGAUGGCAAUAGUAUCAAAUCUUCAUGUUGAGAGGGGCUAUUACUCCAUGCUGUUAGUUCUGUGGAUUUAUAUUAUAUACGUUCUCCUUUUGUAUUAGAAUAAUCCAUUGGCAACUAGAUGAGGUAUGAUACAGAAAUUAAGGGUAGAUAUAUUUAAUUGAAAGAAAUAUUUAAACUCCUGAUUUUUUUAAUUUUUUUUCUCUCUUAUGUUACUCUACAAAUCCUUGUUUUUUUUUCAGUUGCUAACAAGCGUCGGUCAAUACUGAAGCCAAUUUUUCAGAACUCUUCAGUCUGCAUUACCAACAUGCAUUUUUGCCAAAGCUCACCUCCAAAAUGAACUCAAAACACUUCAUACAUGUCUCAAAAUAAGCUCGUUCAACCAUAACACUGGCAAUAAUUCUCACUCAGAAAGCAUACAUUGUCACUCAUAACACACGGACCUAAAAAAUACUAAGAGGGAGCAUUACAUAAAUUAUUAACUUUUAUCUUUUAGAAGUUUCUAUGAUUUUUUACAUCAGUAUUUCUUUAUAGAAUAACACUUAUUCACUUUGACUGUAAAGUCUAUGUAACAAGAAUGAAUCAGAAAUGCAGCAAUUUGCUUCAAUAGACUUUAGUUUUUCUUUAUCUUUGCAUAUAGUAAUUUACUUGUGGAAAAAUAAGUUGAAACAAAACAAAUUCCUGAGAUUCUAAGGCUGCAAUGAUUAUUACAACAAACAUAGUAUAAUCACACAUACAGUGCCUUGUGAAAGUAUUCGGCCCCCUUGAACUUUGCGACCUUUUGCCACAUUUCAGGCUUCAAACAUAAAGAUAUAAAACUGUAUUUUUUUUGUGAAGAAUCAACAACAAGUGGGACACAAUCAUGAAGUGGAACGACAUUUAUUGGAUAUUUCAAACUUUUUUAACAAAGCAAAAACUGAAAAAUUGGGCGUGCAAAAUUAUUCAGCCCCUUUACUUUCAGUGCAGCAAACUCUCUCCAGAAGUUCAGUGAGGAUCUCUGAAUGAUCCAAUGUUGACCUAAAUGACUAAUGAUGAUAAAUACAAUCCACCUGUGUGUAAUCAAGUCUCCGUAUAAAUGCACCUGCACUGUGAUAAUCUCAGAGGUCCGUUAAAA